AGCAGUAGCAGUGAUAUUGUUGUUGUUUAUUUUUUUCAAUUCAAACUCAGACGGACUCACUGAGGUGCGGUUUGUUCACACCGGUCCUUCAUUAGUGAAACACAAAAAAAGAGACGGAAGGUAUCGUUGUACACAGGCGUGUUGCUGCAGCGAUAAUUAACUCGCGGCUUCACUGGAGCUCUGUGCUGUUCAGAUAUAAUUCUGAACCCAUUGUUUACCCCUCACAAAAAUGGAAUGUGAAUCUAAAAAUGCCCUUUGUGCCAAGAAAAUCAUUGCUAGCGAACCCCAGGAGCCCCCUUAACCCACGCUGCUUGAAAGCCAAGUCAAUCAGAUGCAAUGAUGUUACACCCCUCUCCAAUGAAUACCUUUCACCAGUCAUCAGAGGAAGUGUCCGCGUCUGGCAGCUGAUUAGGAGUUCACCUCAACAUCCAGAAAUGCUGCAUGCUGCGCUGUCAGCCAACCAGUGUCUAUCACAAAAGACAAGUCAAUAAGACCCCAUCACCUCCUACUGGUCACACCGCGAGAUGUGCCAGGUGAGAUCCCCGAACCAUGGUGUGUUCCACUGCCUCAGUGUUCGGCUGUCAAGUGAUAUAGAGGCAACAGGAAGUCAGCCUUUUCUCAUCACGCUCAACAGUCAAGCUCACGGCAUUGAAAUCAACAGCAUGCAGUAGUCUACCACACAUUACUGUGUGAGUAAUGUUAAAUAUUACGGUGAUCCAGUAGAGAGAGUUCCUUCUUUCUCAGUGUCAUCUCACUCUGAACUCUCAUUUCUAAUUUUUAUUCUAACAUUCUAGAUUUAGAUUGAAUUAAAAUAAAAAUACUUCCUUCAUUCUGCUCUGAAAAUCAGUGCUUGAGGUCUAAAAGAGGAAAAAGAGAGACAGAGAUAGGAACUAAACACUGAGAUAGUGAAGCAAUCUAUCAGGAAAAAAUACAGGAAACGCUCUUUUUUCUCUUAUUGUGGUCCAGUUUGGUUUUUUUAGGGUCGACGUUCCAAGAAACCAUUGGAUACUCUUGACAGGCACAUAAAGACAGUUGUAUGUAAAAGGAAACUUGUCACUCUACAAGCCCUCACAAGCUAACGCUGCAGCAAUAACAACUGCUCUCACUUGACUAUUCUCCGCUUCCCUUUGUUUUUAUUUAUAGCAUCCAAUAUCUUGAUCGUAGCUUUUUCAGUAACAUUCAGGACAAAAUACGUACCAGGACGAAGGCCUUACAAUGAUUCAGAAGACAUCCAUAGAGCAGAAAAUACACCUGUCAAAUGCCUCAGAAUAACAUCUGUCAAGGAAGGUAAAAUCAAAGAGAAGAAGAAUUUGAGAAAGAGACCAAAAUAAAUGUACAUUAACGUCAACUGAAAUUCACUGGUGUCCCAAUAUAGAAUAUAUAGAGUGAGAGACUUAAAUAUAAGUAAAUUGACCAAAGGUCUUCUCAGAUGUAUUUUUGUGAUUUAAGAAUGUCAAUCAAAAAUCACGAAACAGUAAUUAACAAUAGAUCGGGACGGACAGAAAGAGAGCAAGUUUCAACUUCACAAAUACAAAGAGAAAUACUGCAUUGGAACAUUUGACUAUGGUCACAUCAGCUUAUACUGGCAUACAUAAGAUGAUGGUUCAAGUUGAUGUGAAAAUGCAAACAAUAUGUGGUAUGAGCUUCAGGAGAUUUACUGAAACAAUAUGAUCUGUAUGACAAACCAGGAUCUGUAUGCUUUGAUAGCAUUGAUAAUGUACAAACAUCACUUUUUUUUCAAUCCUAUUCUCACGGAAAGGAGAGUUAUUACUAGUGUUUUAUAUCUGAUGAGUGUUUUAGCAGCUACUAAAACUGUUGUAGACAUACAGGGAUCUGCAAUGAGAUCCUUUAGCAUGUAGUUUCAAAGUACUUCAAAGACUUAGUUUUGAUGUUUCCAAAUACUUCUGUCCAGACCAUGCUGUACUGAACUACCUUUACUGUUUGCUGCUCAACACAUGGUUGUGAUUUUGUGCUUGAUACCCAAAGGUUCGGGGUUAUUCAACUUUCUGUGGGGGAAUUGUGCAGAGGUUAUGAUCAGGUGUGGUUUGUUAAGAUGUUACAGCAGAGAUAUACUUUGACGUAGGAACCAUGGAAUAUCUCUUUCUUCUGUGAGCUUCAAAACUGUUUUUUGGUUUUGAAACAACUUUCCAGAUGCUUUUCAACUGCAUUUGCCCUCUUUAGUGUUACUUGGCCAGAAUGUUUUCUAUGAAUUUGGAUUUUAAUGCUUUUAGUCUUGAAUGUACUUGUGUUUUUUUUGUUCAAAAGAUGUUUUUCAAAAUAUUUAAAUUUAGUUGGAUUUACUACCUUUAUGUUUUUUAAAAAUGGUUUUGUAAUGUGCA